CAGGCUUAACACAUGCAAGUCGAGGGGCAGCAUGGUCUUAGCUUGCUAAGGCCGAUGGCGACCGGCGCACGGGUGAGUAACACGUAUCCAACCUGCCGUCUACUCUUGGACAGCCUUCUGAAAGGAAGAUUAAUACAAGAUGGCAUCAUGAGUCCGCAUGUUCACAUGAUUAAAGGUAUUCCGGUAGACGAUGGGGAUGCGUUCCAUUAGAUAGUAGGCGGGGUAACGGCCCACCUAGUCUUCGAUGGAUAGGGGUUCUGAGAGGAAGGUCCCCCACAUUGGAACUGAGACACGGUCCAAACUCCUACGGGAGGCAGCAGUGAGGAAUAUUGGUCAAUGGGCGAGAGCCUGAACCAGCCAAGUAGCGUGAAGGAUGACUGCCCUAUGGGUUGUAAACUUCUUUUAUAAAGGAAUAAAGUCGGGUAUGGAUACCCGUUUGCAUGUACUUUAUGAAUAAGGAUCGGCUAACUCCGUGCCAGCAGCCGCGGUAAUACGGAGGAUCCGAGCGUUAUCCGGAUUUAUUGGGUUUAAAGGGAGCGUAGAUGGAUGUUUAAGUCAGUUGUGAAAGUUUGCGGCUCAACCGUAAAAUUGCAGUUGAUACUGGAUAUCUUGAGUGCAGUUGAGGCAGGCGGAAUUCGUGGUGUAGCGGUGAAAUGCUUAGAUAUCACGAAGAACUCCGAUUGCGAAGGCAGCCUGCUAAGCUGCAACUGACAUUGAGGCUCGAAAGUGUGGGUAUCAAACAGGAUUAGAUACCCUGGUAGUCCACACGGUAAACGAUGAAUACUCGCUGUUUGCGAUAUACUGCAAGCGGCCAAGCGAAAGCGUUAAGUAUUCCACCUGGGGAGUACGCCGGCAACGGUGAAACUCAAAGGAAUUGACGGGGGCCCGCACAAGCGGAGGAACAUGUGGUUUAAUUCGAUGAUACGCGAGGAACCUUACCCGGGCUUAAAUUGCAGAUGAAUUACGGUGAAAGCCGUAAGCCGCAAGGCAUCUGUGAAGGUGCUGCAUGGUUGUCGUCAGCUCGUGCCGUGAGGUGUCGGCUUAAGUGCCAUAACGAGCGCAACCCUUGUUGUCAGUUACUAACAGGUUCCGCUGAGGACUCUGACAAGACUGCCAUCGUAAGAUGUGAGGAAGGUGGGGAUGACGUCAAAUCAGCACGGCCCUUACGUCCGGGGCUACACACGUGUUACAAUGGGGGGUACAGAGGGCCGCUACCACGCGAGUGGAUGCCAAUCCCCAAAACCUCUCUCAGUUCGGACUGGAGUCUGCAACCCGACUCCACGAAGCUGGAUUCGCUAGUAAUCGCGCAUCAGCCACGGCGCGGUGAAUACGUUCCCGGGCCUUGUACACACCGCCCGUCAAGCCAUGGGAGCCGGGGGUACCUGAAGUGCGUAACCGCGAGGAGCGCCCUAGGGUAAAACUGGUGACUGGGGCUAAGUCAUAACAA
rnacentral:rRNA from 1 species